UCAUGUGGUCUCGAGUCACAGAGAGUCUAACAAACACAGCAGUAAUUUUAGGAGCUGAUGUGAUUAUAAGCUGUGAUCUUGAUAUAGAGGAGAUUUACUGGUUCAGACAGAAAUCACCGGAUCCUCCAGAGUUGAUCUUACGCACUUUCAGUAGCAGAACUGAAGAAGCCAUAUAUGAAAACAGCAUCUUUGAAGACAAAUACUCAGUGAAAACUAACAGUAGUCUGUUCAUCAGAAAUAUCAGCGCUGAUGAAUUAGGAGUUUAUUAUUGUGUGAAAACUAGUGAACCACAAAAAUUCAGCAACGGCACCAAAAUCUACAUCAGAGACCCAAAUAAUGCUUCAGAACAGGAAACACCAUGGAGAAACCUGACCAUCAUCACAUCUGUUCUGCUGAAUGUGCUUCUGAUCUUUGCAUUAAUAGGUUUGGUGAAGAGCAACACUGAUGCAACUGGAAGAUGUAAAAAUGACUCAAAUAAUCUACAGUGUGGUGAAAUUGAUUUUUCCAUGUGUGCCGGCAACACCAGGUCUGGUCCAGAGCAGAGCAAGAUUGUCUACCACCAAUAUAUAAUGUAGAAUACAUUACUGCGCCAUAAUAAGCUAACAUGUAUUCAUUUUAAUAUACCUUUUAAAAGUUAGACAUACCUUAUUUUGCAAAGUGGUAAUUAUUAUAAAAAUUACCAUUAAUAUAAUGGUUUUUUUCUGGUUAUUUUGAAUAGAGAUCUUGUUUAUAUAUAAUGGUAACAAUCAUCAUGUUUCUUUGUUGUACAUGUGCUGAUAUGUUCACACUAGUUCUUAGAGUUCCAAACCACAGGGCAAAUGAGGUUUCUUAAGGCUAAAAACACUUUUUGCCGUUGCAACUUUCAAGAAACGUCAUGCAACAAAUUACACUUGAUCAUAAAUCAGCUGGCAGUCCUGAAUAUACAUUUCACUUCUUCAUGCACGAUGUAUUGUCAUGAAAUCAAAGAAUUUUCUACUAGUUCUACAUUUUUAUAUGUUAUUAUUUUUCAUGCAGCUGGAAAUCAAGGAAACCAACCUCAAUAAAUGUACUA